rnacentral:tRNA from 1 species
GCCGGUAUAGCUCAGCAGGUAGAGCAACUGACUUGUAAUCAGUAGGUCCCGAGUUCGAUUCUUGGUGCCGGCACCA